UGGAUUUGUCGCAUGUGUAGAUCCGACCGUACUGUCGGAUGAUCCGAUGUCAGACGCCUCAUGAAUGCCCAGCGAUCCGGACGUCCAGUCGAUGUCAGAGGUCACGUCGGCGUCAGGUGAUCGGGCGCCGGACGAUACGGCGUCAGUCGAUCGGAUAUUCGGCGCCGAUUGCGGGAGAGAGGGCCGCUGUCAGGCGUCCCAUCGGGAACGCGAACCGGCGCGGACGCG
rnacentral:lncRNA from 1 species